AGCAGCCGCGGUAAUUCCAGCUCCAAUAGCGUAUAUUAAAGUUGCUGCAGUUAAAAAGCUCGUAGUUGAAUUUCGGGACCAUCAUGUCGGUCGUGCCUAGGUACGUACUGGUAUUGUUGGUUUCUCCCUCCUGACGAACCAUGAUGUCAUUUAUUUGGUGUUGUGGGGAAUCAGGACUGUUACUUUGAAAAAAUUGGAGUGUUUAAAGCAGGCUCACGCUUGAAUACAUUAGCAUGGAAUAAUGAAAUAGGACGUUUGAUUCUAUUUUGUUGGUUUCUAGGAUCGACGUAAUGAUUAAUAGGGAUAGUUGGGGGCAUUAGUAUUCAAUUGUCAGAGGUGAAAUUCUUGGAUUUAUUGAAGACUAACUACUGCGAAAGCAUUUGCCAAGGAUGUUUUCAUUAAUCAAGAACGAAAGUUAGGGGAUCGAAGACGAUCAGAUACCGUCGUAGUCUUAACCAUAAACUAUGCCGAUUAGGGAUCGGAUGAUGUUAAUUUUUUAAUGACUCAUUCGGCGCCUUACG
rnacentral:rRNA from 1 species